rnacentral:rRNA from 1 species
UACGUAGGUGCAAGCGUUGUCCGGAAUUAUUGGGCGUAAAGCGCGCGUAGGCGGCUACUUAAGUCGGAUGUGAAAGCCCUUGGCUCAACUGAGGAAGUGCACCCGAAACUGAGUGGCUAGAGUACGAAAAGAGGGUCGCGGAAUUCCCGGUGUAGAGGUGAAAUUCGUAGAUAUCGGGAGGAACACCAGUGGCGAAGGCGGCGACCUGGACAGAUAUUGACGCUGAGGUGCGAAAGCGUGGGGAGCAAACAGG